CUGCCAGCUCACCUGUCACUUGGUCACCUAGUGUAUCCAUUCUUCCACUCCACUCCACCCAGAUAGGUUACCAAUACGUGGCGAACUUGCCACCAGCCCACGCUGCUGAAGGUACCAGAAGCUAGUCCAGUGAUUAUGGUGUUCCUGUUCUUGAUUGGGCAAAAAAACAGGCCUGACCUGAAUCCCUGAGAGAACCUGUGAAGUAUUGUCCAGAAGAAGAUGAGCGACAACAGAAGCGACAAUGCAGAUGACCUUGAGGCUGCUAUUAGAGCAACCUGGGCUUCCAGAACACCUCAGCAGAACCACAGGGUGAUCACCUCAAUGCUACACUGCACUGACGUAGUAAUUCAUGCUAAAGGAGACUCAACCAAAUACUGAGUACAUAGAUAUGAACAGACGUUUCAGAAGCCUGAGAUUACUAUUUAAAUUAUGUUUUCUAUUGAUCUUAUGUAAUUUACAAAUUUUCUGAGAUACUGAAUUUUUAGUUUUCAUCAUCUCUAAGCCAUAAUCAUUACAAUUACAAGAAGAUGAAGGCUUGAAAUGUUUCUGUUUAAUGAACCUAUAUAUGUGAGCUUUGCUUUCUGAAAUGAGGGACAAAACUUUUUCAUGAUGUACUAAGUUUUUCUAGAUGGACCUGUGGUUACUAUCCACCUCUGUAUAUAAUGACUAAAGCAUCAGAAACAACACUCGGGCCAUGACAGAACCCUGACUGCAAGGACUCUCUGCCUUUCUGAGAGGCAUAAAAUUUUCAGAUUUCCCCGGAGGGCCAAGCUGCUUGUCAGCAGCUCACCCACAGCUCCUUCUCCAUGGAACCAACCCACCCACCUCCUGGAUUUCUCAUUUCAACAUGACCACCUGAGCACAGACUCACACCAGCCCCUCUGCUCCAGCCUCACCCCGUUCCCCCUGGACCCGAAACAAGCCCUGCUGUAAGCAUUUUAAUUGUGACAGAUUAUUUACUGUGCAAGUUAAAUGGCUUAAUUGAUUUAAAGAGAGGGGUGGGGAAAGGGAAAGAGAAAGUGUAAAGGAGGAAGGUUGAUGAAGAAGGAAUUCAUGUAUUUUUUUUUUUUUCAAAUGACACAUUUCAUGUUUAGCCCGGGGUUUUCAUCAAAGGCAAUGAAAUGUAGCAACACUGAGAAUGCAUUUUAUUUCUGCUCCCCUACAUCCCAAUUUUAGAUUGAAUAUUUAAAGAUUUAGGUGCUGGGAUUUGUCCAGUGAAUGGUCAAAGAUUCCUCAAUGCCU